GUUUAUGUGAGGAAAAAUCGCUUCACGGGGUGGAAACAAGGAAACAUUCCCGAGAAGCGUUUUUGGAA
rnacentral:ncRNA from 2 species